UCUCUCACAAGCAUCCUAUCUUAAAUCUAUUUCUUGCCUAUCGCUUUGUCUCUCGCUGAAUUCCUUCUGUGCUGAGACAUGAAGAACCUCAGCUGCAGUAAGUCCAGACACCAGAUGAGUGAUUCUAAUUUAAAACAAAACCCAAAAAAACCUGUCAGUUCAAGUCCCAAUCUGGGUUUUGGCUGGAUUCAAGUCAGAGGUGCUUUCAGUUCCGCUUCAUAAAGUAUCACCAUAGGCCUCUUCCCAGACUGUCCUCUACACUUUACACACCUACAGCCUCAAGGACCAUCUAAAACUGCCCAGAUGUAUCUCCAGUCCAGAGAUAUCUUUCCUGAGCUCCAGACCUAUAUUUCUUGCUAUUUCAUAUCUUCAUUUAGGUGUCUCAAAAGCAUCUCAGAUAUGGCACAUCCAAAAUAGUAUUCCUGACCUUGUCCUCUUCCAAAAUUCUCCAUCUCAGCAUAUCACCACCUUCCAUCCAGUUUCACAAGUAAAGUGGAAACCUGAGAAUUAUCCUUGACACAUGAUCUUCCUCAAUCCCGAUCCCUGACCAAAUCCCACAACGUGUAACUGCAAGAUCAGACUCCCUCCAUUUCUUUCCAUUUUCAAGGUCUCCCCCCUAGUAUAAGCCACUGUCACUUCCCCUCUGGGUCUAUCACCAUGGCCUCUAACUGGAGAUUCUGAGUCCUCCCUUACCCUCUUUGCUUCCUUCUUCAAACAAGCACCAAAUCCAUCAUUUGAAAAUAAAGAACUGAACUUAACACCCCCAUGAUUAAAGUCCUCCAUUGUCUUUUCAUGGUCCACGAGUUAAAGGCUAAAAUCUUUAACAUGUGCUGAAGAGCCUCAUAUAGUCUGAUGUCUACCCACUUCCACAUCUUCUGCUACCCGCCCACCGCCGUUAGCACUUCUUGCGACGAGAAUGUAUUAUUAGUCUUUUCUUUAUUGGAACACUUGUCUUCCACCCUCUUUACUUAGUUUACACCCACUUGUCCGUCAGAUGUGUACAGAGAAAAUUACCUCCUUGGGGGCAUCUUCCCAAAAUUUCCAGACUAGUCCACUCCUGAUGUCAUGCUCUUACCAUAUACUUCUGUAAUUAUUUAGUUGAUGCCCAUGUCCCUCACUAGACUAGAAACUGCAUGAGAGCAGAUGGAAUGCCUUUCUGACCCAGAAUGGUUUUUCCCAAUGCUUAUCCCAGCGCUUGGAACAUAGGAGACAUUCAACAAAUUGUUUCAUUGAGCACAUACUGUGUGCCAGGCACUGUUAUGGUGGUGACACACGAUGGACAAAAGAAACCUCAGUCACUGCCCUCAUGAACCCUACGUCAUAGUAAAAGAGACAUAGGAUGAAAUAAGUAAAGAAAUACAUGACAUUAGAAAAUGAUAUAGGUUGUUAAGAAAAUAGUAGAGCAAGGAAAUGGAAAAUGUUAGGUGGUGAUGGAUUGGGGCUCUUUUUUAGGGUCUAGCAGGCUAAUUUGGAUAGAGAAUUCCUAUAUGAAGAGGUGACAUUUGAGCAGAGACUUAAAUUAAGUGAUAAAGUAACCUGGAGAGGAGCAGGGGCAGCUUUCUGGACAGAAAGCAAAUACAAAAGGGAAUGACUAUGUCUGAGGGAUAACUAAAAAUUCAGUGUUGAGGAGUUCCCAUCAUGUCUCAGCAGAAAUGAAUCUGACCUGUAUCCAUGAGGACACAGGUUCAAUCCCUGGUCUUGCCAGUGAGUUAAGUUUCCAGCAUUGCCAUGAGCAGUGGUGUAGGUCACAGACGCAGCUCAGAUCCUGCAUUGCUGUGGCUGUGGUGUAGGCUUGCAGCCACUGCUCCAAUUCGACCUCUAGCCUGGGAACCUCCAUAUGCCACAGGUGUGGCUCUAAGAAAUUUAAAAAAAAAUUUUUUUAAAGUCAGUUUUGAGGGAGAGAAGUCAUGUCACACAGCAGAAAAUGAGGUUGGAGAAGGGGACUGAGCAGACCACAUAGCACCAGAAGUUCUUAUUUGAGGAUGCAGUCCUCAGAGCUGGACACUGUGUUGAGUGAAAAAUACUGAAAUAAGCAUUUUUUUCGGCGUCCAGAUCCAUGGGCUCCAAUCCUGCUUCUGUCACCAGCAGCUGAGUGAGGCUGAAAGCAAAUCAUGGUCUCUCCCUGCCCUCAUUUCCUUGUGUGAUGAAUGAGAGUUUGGGACCAGAUCAUCACUAAUGUUCUGUCUGGAUGGAAAGUCCUUUUAUUUUUUUUAAAUGAACAUCAUUUGAUAAGAACUGGGCUAAAGGUCUUAGUCUGCCAGUACGAUUUUUUUUUCUGAAUCUUAAUUUUAUUGUUUGAAAAGUAGAAAUAGGGAGUUUCUUAGUGGUUUAGUGGUUAGGAUUCAGCACUGUCGCUGCUGUGGCCCAAAUUCAAUCACUGGUCUGGGGACGGAGAUUCCACAUCAAGUCAAGGCACACCAUGGCCAGAAAAGAAAAGAAACUGAAAUGGAAGAAAUAGGAGAGCCUUCUCUCAGGGUUGACAUGCUAACCAGAAGUCAUGGUAGGCGUGAAAGCUCUUUGUAAAUGAUAACAUGCUUUCUAAACCUGUAUCUAAAACAUACUGAAAAUUUAGCGUAUCUCAAGCACUGUUGUAGGUGCCAUCUAUGUGGCAUUUCAUCCUCAAUGGCUAUCUCAGGGAUCAGAUCUCUUUAACUGAGACUAAGAGAAAGUAAAAACCUCAAGUUGCCUCAGGCAGUUAAAUGGCAGAGUUAGCUGUGCCCCCAGAGAUGGUUGGCAUCAAGUCUUUAGGGCUCCUCACUAGAGCAGAGGGUCUAUACACCUGAGUAUAGAGGUUGGGGGUAGGGAGGUGAGGAGCUGUUUGAAAUUCAGUCCCAGGGUCACUGUUGAUGGAUAAGAAAUUUUGUUGACAGUGACACUGCAUUUGUAUUCUAGUAAAUAAGACUGCUUGAACAUCAUUUAAUCGCAAUAAUGUUUUCCAAAUUCUUAUGAAAGAAAUCUGUGGUGUGACCCUGAGUUCAUCACAGAACAACAGUCAUUCCUUCUUUUAUCUGUUCUUUCAUCUCUGGAGCAUCUACUCUGUGUUAGGUCACAUCCUGGUUGCCCAUGGGACAGAAAUGAAGAAGACUCCCUUGACCUCAAGGACUGUACAGUCUCUGAGUGCACGUGGGAAUAAAAACGGCAUUUCGCUGCAACAGCUGGUGUAAGCAGAGCCCAGUGCAAUGUUGAGUGAGAACUGAGGGGAAGCCGUAUGCAAAUCAGGAAGGACCUUGCACAGCAAAUGUUGCUCAGAGCUCAGAGUCUUCCCUAAUAGAAGGAAUUUAACAGCAUUAAGGAGAGGAGAGUUAUCAUCUCCCUGGCUUUGGACUCUAUCCCACACCGCAUAAACCCUAACCUACAUAUUUAUUCUACACUUUACUAUCUGGAAAAUGAGGCCAUAUCCUCAAAUUGUUGACAUCAUUGCUGCUGACCAGCAGGAAGUCAUUGCUACUUCUGCUUACCCGCUCAGCCAGAGCUCACCUCAUCAUCGCUUCCACUGAGUUAUGCAAAUUGCCAUUACUGCAUGUGCAGAGUUGGAUUGACAGUUAAAAAAUCUUCAAAAAGAUUAUACUAUGAUGUAGCUUUGAAAGGAAAAGUUAUUUGUACUCCAGAAAGCAUGGGAACAGAGCAGCAUGAUAGUGGAUACACCUGUCUCCCAGAGAGUUCUCACUCAACAUAAAAUACAAAUUCUAAAUGACAAGAAAAUAUCGUCAUACCUUUUAAUUGGCAGCACCAUCUUUUCCUAGUGGUACAUAAAAUAAUAAUACAUCUUAUAACCCCUAUCUCUUAGGCUAGGUGAGAUGUGGAAUUUCAGUUAAGCCUGGCAUGUCUUGUAUUUUUAAAAAUCACAUGACUUACAUGGAAUUGUGGACUCACUUUAUAUAAUCCAGUCUCUUCGGGGAACUCCUGCCAUCCUAUGCCUGUGCAGUUAAUUCUUUAAACCCACAUUCAAGACUCUACAUUUUUGUUCCCCCAGUGAGAUGGCAAUGUGUUAAAAUCAGCUUGGUGUUCCCAGGCUGUUGAGAAGGUCUCAAAUUGUGAUUUGGUUACCGCCUAUGUUAGCCACAGCCUGUGUCAUCCGUGUUGACAAUUCCUGGUCACCCAAGGAUGAUCUUAUUAUCUAAGCACAUUAUGUAUAAGGAAUUUCACAGCUGAAACGAGGUACAGAAUGACCUACUCUAAAACAAGAGUGAUUAACAAGUUUGGAGCCAAGCCAAACGAAAGAACAAGGUUGUUAUUGGCAUGAUUUUAAUCAUGAUAGACAAUUAGCCAAGCUUAAUUAUAUUGAGACGGAAAACCAGAAUGAGUGGCAGUAAUGAAUUUCUCUGGGAACUCUCCUGUGUCUCCAACUCAAACUGGCUGACCUAUAAAGGGUGGAAAAUGAUGAAAGAUGUUUGCCCACGUGUACAAGCUGUGUUUACCUCGAGGAGAUGUCUGUAUGGGCAAAGGGUCUGGGGGACUCCUCUUUCUGCAAGGGACUCAUCCCUGGACACAAAUGGAAUUCUCUAGUUCUACUGGCAUUUUUGCUUCAGGAAUGAGAGGCAGAAGAGAGGAAACAUAUUUUAGCUGAACUUGGGUGCAUUAAAUGUUAAUGUGAUUAUGUAGCUGGGGAUUCUUUAAAUGUUGCCCAUGGCUGAAGUAUUACUGUAGUUGCGUGUUGGCACUUUUUAGUGUUAUAAAAGCUUAAUAUUUUCAGUGACUGUGUCAAGCCCAAAUAGAACACUUGAAACUUCAGUAGAGUCAGAAAGUGAUUAGAAUGUAAAAAAAUUUUUUUAACGAUUUGACAUUCCUUGCCUCUAGGUUUAGAAAUGGAAUUUAAAAUGACACUCUCCCUAAGUCUCUAGUCUCUUUUCCCAUUAUGGAUUUUAAUUGACUUAUUAUAAUUAAAACACAGAAGAAAGAAAAGUUGUGGAGAAGAAUGGAAAUCUCUAUAGUUCAUAUAGUUCUUUAGAGUUCACAGCAUAUCCCAAUAUAUCAUCCUCACACCAAACACACACACACACACACACACACACACACACACACACACACACAGACCUGGAAGAUGAGCUUGUCUUGUUGUAAAGAUGAAGAAGCUGGGCUUCAGAGGUUGUAAUUUAUCUCAGUCAGAUGGCAGAAAUAUACACAAGGCUUCUGAUUCCGAGACUGGGUUCUAAAAAGUAAUACAGAAAGAAAAGAAAGGCAAGGGAGGAAAAAAAGGAGGGGAGGUGGGGAAGGGAGGAAUGAAGGAAGAAUGGGGAAGGGAAGGGAGAAAAGGAAAGAAAGAAAGGAAAAGGCAGAGAAGGAACACCUUUCAGGUGAAGUUUGAGAGGGGUUUUCUAGCACGAUGGACGUUCACAGUGAGAAAGCCAAGUCAGUCCCUGUGUCUGAGAUGUGAAUAAAUUAGCCUGCCUCUUUCCCUCCCUUCCUUCCUUCCUUUUUUUCUUUCAUCUUUCCCUUUCUUACUUCUUUCUAUCUAAUACUUUUACUGUAUAUCUCCUGUGUUUUCCUAAACAAUAAUUUUCACUGGAAUUCUCCCUGCAUCCUGUGAUGAAUCAAACAUCUUUUAUCCUUGGAUACCCUUUGUAGAUCAGCCAGUUUGUGUUGGAGACCCAGAAAAAUAUGAUACAAAAUUUGAUCCUGUACACCCAUGCUUGUGGCAGCAUUAUUCACAACCAUAUCCACCAAAAGACGGAAGCAACCCAGCGUUCAUUAAUGGAUGAAUGUAUAAAAAAAGCAUAGCAUACACAUAUAAUGGAACAUUAUUCACUCUUAAAAAGGAAAGAGGUUCUCAGAGUUCCCAUCAUGGCACAGUCGAAACAAAUUCGACCAAUAACCAUGAGGUUGCAGGUUUGAUCCCUGGCCUCGCUCAGUGAGCUGUGGUGUAGGUCACAGAUGCAGCUUGGAUCCCACAUUGCUAUGGCUGUGGCAUAGGCUGGCAGCUGUAGCUCUGAUUCAACCGCAGCCUGGGAAGCUCCAUAUGCCACCAGUGUGGCCCUAAAAAG
rnacentral:tRNA from 1 species